CGGGAUGUUGAGCGUUUUAUUGCUCGAUGCACUACAUGUCAAAAAGCUAAGUCACGACUCAAUCCUCAUGGUUUAUAUAUGCCUUUGCCUGUACCUAAUGUUCCUUGGGAGGAUAUAUCUAUGGACUUUGUUUUAGGUUUACCUCGAACAAAGAAGGGGAGGGAUAGCAUAUUUGUUGUCGUGGAUAGAUUCUCGAAAAUGGCACACUUUAUACCAUGUCAUGAAAGCGAUGAUGCUGUUAAUGUUGCUGAUUUGUUCUUUCGUGAAAUUAUUCGCUUGCAUGGUGUGCCAAAUACUAUUGUUUCAGAUCGUGAUACUAAAUUUCUUAGCCACUUUUGGAGAUGUUUAUGGGCUAAGUUGGGGACUAAACUACUUUUCAGUACUACUUGUCACCCCCAAACUGAUGGACAAACUGAAGUAGUCAAUAGAACGUUGUCUACUAUGCUUAGGGCUGUUUUGAAGAAUAAUAAGAAAAUGUGGGAGGAAUGCUUGCCUCAUAUUGAAUUUGCUUAUAAUCGUUCAUUGCAUUCUACUACUAAGAUGUGCCCUUUUGAAGUUGUGUAUGGUUUCCUACCUCGUGCACCUAUUGAUUUGUUGCCUCUUCCAUCUUCGGAGAAGGUUAAUUUUGAUGCUAAACAACGUGCUGAAUUGAUUUUAAAAAUGCAUGAGUUAACUAAGGAAAACAUUGAGCGUAUGAAUGCUAAAUAUAAACUUGCUGGAGAU
rnacentral:rRNA from 1 species